UGCUAAAGAAGAACUGCAUCCUGAAAGAAACAAGAAUGUGGGCUCUGAUGAUCUGAACUCUGCAGCUCUGAGGUUCCUUCCAAACACAAUAAGGAACAGGAGGCCUGAUCAGAGAGAGAAGUGGAGACUCAGGUUCUUUAUAGCGCCAGCAGAUAGACACAAGCAGCAAUAGGACUGCAACUCUCAGUGGAACUGAUGCUCUAUAUUCAUCUGCUGCCAGAGUCAAUGGCAACAUUCUUUUAUUAAAUAAAGUUCCUAUACUCAUGGUCA